rnacentral:rRNA from 1 species
CAGAGGGUGCGAGCGUUGUCCGGAAUCACUGGGCGUAAAGGGCGCGUAGGUGGCGACCCAAGUCAAUGGUGAAAGCUCGAUUGCUCAACAUCGAGUCGGCCACUGAUACUGGGUUGCUCGAGCACUGUAGAGGCAGAUGGAAUUCCGGGUGUAGCGGUGGAAUGCGUAGAGAUCCGGAAGAACACCGGUGGCGAAGGCGGUCUGCUGGGCAGUUGCUGACACUGAGGCGCGACAGCGUGGGGAGCAAACAGGAUUAGAUACCCUGGUAGUCCACGCCGUAAACGAUGGGCACUAGAUGCUUGGGGGAGCGACCCCCUGAGUGUCGUCGCUAACGCAGUAAGUGCCCCGCCUGGGGAGUACGGCCGCAAGGCUG